UGCUGCGUGUCUGUCCUCAUCUCGUGUCGUGAGAUGUUGGGUUAAGUCCCGCCACGAGCGCCCCCCUUGCCAUUAGGUGCCAUCAUUAAGUUGGGCACUCUAAUGGGACUGCCGGUGACAAACCGGAGGAAGGUGGGGAUGACGUCAAGUCCUCAUGGCCCUUAUGACCAGGGCUUCACACGUCAUACAAUGGUCGGUACAGAGGGUAGCCAAGCCGCGAGGUGGAGCCAAUCUCAUAAAACCGAUCGUAGUCCGGAUCGCACUCUGCAACUCGAGUGCGUGAAGUCGGAAUCGCUAGUAAUCGCAGAUCAGCAUGCUGCGGUGAAUACGUUCCCGGGUCUU
rnacentral:rRNA from 1 species